GAGAGAGAGAGAGAGAGAUGAUUUAAAUGUUUGCUUAUAUCUGUUAGAGACGCAAUGUGGCCUCCAAUAAGAAAGCUAAAAACCAGGAAACUACACAUGUACCACACAGAAGCGAGGCAUUAGAAGAUACUAAAAGAUGAAGUGUAUUUUGAGAAGGAUCCUGAGGUGGUAAAUUUGGACUCAAAGAGAUGACUCGGAAGCACCUUUCAUCCUUUCUUUAUAUAAACAUUUAUAAACCCUGGCUAUCAUACUAGCUUAACAUCCAAAUUUCAAAUUUAAGAAUUAGCAUUGCAAAAAU
rnacentral:misc_RNA from 1 species